GAUGAACGCUGGCGGCGUGCCUAAUACAUGCAAGUCGAGCGAACGGACGAGAAGCUUGCUUCUCUGAUGUUAGCGGCGGACGGGUGAGUAACACGUGGAUAACCUACCUAUAAGACUGGGAUAACUUCGGGAAACCGGAGCUAAUACCGGAUAAUAUUUUGAACCGCAUGGUUCAAAAGUGAAAGACGGUCUUGCUGUCACUUAUAGAUGGAUCCGCGCUGCAUUAGCUAGUUGGUAAGGUAACGGCUUACCAAGGCAACGAUGCAUAGCCGACCUGAGAGGGUGAUCGGCCACACGGGAACUGAGACACGGUCCAGACUCCUACGGGAGGCAGCAGUAGGGAAUCUUCCGCAAUGGGCGAAAGCCUGACGGAGCAACGCCGCGUGAGUGAUGAAGGUCUUCGGAUCGUAAAACUCUGUUAUUAGGGAAGAACAUAUGUGUAAGUAACUGUGCACAUCUCGACGGUACCUAAUCAGAAAGCCACGGCUAACUACGUG
rnacentral:rRNA from 1 species